rnacentral:rRNA from 1 species
UACGAAGGGGGCUAGCGUUGCUCGGAAUCACUGGGCGUAAAGGGUGCGUAGGCGGGUCUUUAAGUCAGGGGUGAAAUCCUGGAGCUCAACUCCAGAACUGCCUUCGAUACUGGGAAACUUGAGUCCGGGAGAGGUGAGUGGAACUGCGAGUGUAGAGGUGAAAUUCGUAGAUAUUCGCAAGAACACCAGUGGCGAAGGCGGCUCACUGGCCCGGUACUGACGCUGAGACGCGAAAGCGUGGGGAGCGAACAGG